rnacentral:lncRNA from 1 species
GUCGCUGUGGGAGAGUGUAGCUGUAAUAGAAGCAGGGGCCCAGGGGGCAUACCUCUUAGGCAGAAGUCACCACCUACUGGGUCACCAGGGUUCAAGGCUUGUACUCAACCUGAGGCCAGGCUGUCUAUGCACAGCUCACCACCCCACAAAUUCCCUUAACACCCAUUCCUUUUCUUGCCCUCCACUGAUUUAUUGUCUUAUAGUUUCAAACACCCAUGGAGAUGAGGAUGAUACCUCCUCCCACUACUAAGAAAACCCAACUAAAGAAGAAUUUGUACCCCAACAAGACCCGUCUAAAUGAAGAAAUGGGAAUGAUGGCAAAACAGGUUCAUGACAAUCUCCCCCAAGAGAGGACUCCAGGAGUGUUUCAGCUCGAGGUAGAGGGGCCAUGUUCUAUGAUAUCAAAUCACAGGUCCUGAUGGUCUUCUUCUCAAAGUGUGGUUUCAGGACCUGCAGCAUCAGCCACCAGGAAGGAACUGAAUAUAAUUCUCUGACCCCCAUCCUGGGCACAGAGAAACAAAACUACUUGGAAGAAGCAAGCUGAAUUCAUAACAGCACAAGACUCCUUCUGCAGUUCAGCAAAUCGUGUGUGGUGUACCAGCUCAGCGAGUUCUCAGCCUCACAAUCUCCUCCAUGCCACCCUUCAUCUGGGAGAAAGGAGGGGGCUUUCCACAGUCUGUGACUCACAAGAGCUUGGAUUUUGAACUUGUUCCCUGCCCACUGUGCAUGCACAUGGCCGCUGUUUCCUCCACCAACUGUGGAGAGUACACCUUACAGAAAUUGCCCUCUCAGCUGCAGAUUGUCUGCACACAGCACUGCCCUGGCUUUGGAAAGUACUCAACUCUCUAUCUCCCCUGAGCACAUUGAACAGCUGAGUUGAAGAGUGAAAACUGCCAGAAUGCUAAUCGUGGGAAGAAAAAAUAAUAAUAAUAACAAGAUCCAGAUGGGGUAAAAUGGACAUGUUUCAUUUACCCUGGGAGACCUACAGUAUAUCACUUGCAGUGCACAGACAUUGAGUUUCAGCUCUUUGUAAACAAAUACUGCAGAGGCAUAUGCCACAAGAUUAUAAACAUGGUGAGCCAUAAAUUCGAUGGGCUGUGCACUGCUCUCUACACACAACCAGCGUUCUUAGCAGGAUCUGGGGCUGCAGUCUGUUCUCUUGGCUGCUCUUCAACCCUGGGGAUUCAGCUUACCCAAGGGGCCAUUCCUGAGGGGGGCAAUCACUUUAAUGAAACACACAAGCUUUUCACCAGAAAGAGAGAAACUCUCGCAUUCUGGUUAGACCUGUGUGGGCUCUGGGCAGCUGUGGGGUUGCUGCAGGGAUCCUGAAGACCACAAAUGCUGCACUCAGCCUUUUGUGUGUAGAGACAGGUGGCUCUGGCAAGCAAAUUUGUAGGUUUCCGAUCCCGGUUCUGCUCUCUGCCCAUCGACACUGACUUAGCAGAAAUGUCACACACACAUUCCCUUAAAAAGCAUACAGGCAAUCCUGAACAUUGCUUUCAGAAAGGGCUCAGAAGACCAUGAAAGAAACUAUGAAAACCCAAUUAAAUUUUUUUUUAAUUGGCGGAUAGGUAUAUACAGUGUAGCAGUAUCUAAUGUUAUUUUAAUGCACAAAUAAAUAAACUGUAUGAUAUUGAAACCAGUAUAGGC